UUUAACGCUACUCCCCACGAAGCGUAUAUAUAUGCAAUUCCCUUUCCCUCGAAAUUCAUCAUCCCUUCCGCCUUUUCUCUCAUUGUUUUCGACGACGAUUAUUUGCCGCCAUAUUUCUCAUCCUUUUUUCAGACGACGAUUAUCUCCGAUCUAUAUCUUCAUUGAACUCUUUCAUCUUUGGAAACUAAAUAUUGCUAGCAGAUGGAGGAGUAUUCCUUUCCUUUUAUGCAAGAGUUAUUUGCUAAUCAAGAUCCCCUGUCAAGUUGAUCUAGGAUUACUAAGCAAUGUUGUCACUAUCACAAUAUCAACAUCAAUCUCGACUGUGAAGACUCUCAAUAUAAGGAUUAUGGUUUGA